UACGUAGGGUGCGAGCGUUGUCCGGAAUUACUGGGCGUAAAGAGCUCGUAGGCGGCUUGUCGCGUUGUCCGUGAAAAUUUACCGCUCAACGGUGAACUUGCGGGCGAUACGGGCAGGCUAGAGUACUGCAGGGGAGACUGGAAUUCCUGGUGUAGCGGUGAAAUGCGCAGAUAUCAGGAGGAACACCGGUGGCGAAGGCGGUUCUCUGGGAAUAUCCUGACGCUGAGGAGCGAAAGUGUGGGGAGCGAACAGG
rnacentral:rRNA from 1 species